rnacentral:tRNA from 1 species
GGAGAGAUGGCUCAGUGGUUAAGAGCACUGACUGCUCUUCCAGAGUUCCUGAGUUCAAUUCCCAGCAACCACA